GGAAGUGCGGCUUGUUUUCUUUCCUCGGCUCUCGGGCUGCGGCGGGCGGAGCGCGAUGCGCCGGGACCCCCGCGGGGGCGGCCGUGAGCCCCGAUGAGGCCCGAGCGCCCCCGGCCGCGCCGCAGCGCCCCCGGCCCGAUGGAGGCGCCGCCGUGGGACCCGGUCCGCAACGACUCGCUGCCGCCCACGCUGACGCCGGCCGUGCCCCCCUACGUGAAGCUCGGCCUCACGGUGGUCUACACCGUGUUCUACGCGCUGCUCUUCGUGUUCAUCUACGCGCAGCUCUGGCUGGUGCUGCGCUACCGCCACAAGCGGCUCAGCUACCAGAGCGUCUUCCUCUUCCUCUGCCUCUUCUGGGCCUCGCUGCGCACCGUGCUGUUCUCCUUCUACUUCAGGGACUUCGUGGCGGCCAAUGCCCUCAGCCCCUUCGUCUUCUGGCUGCUCUACUGCUUCCCCGUGUGCCUCCAGUUCUUCACCCUCACGCUCAUGAACUUGUACUUCACGCAGGUGAUCUUCAAAGCCAAGUCAAAAUAUUCUCCAGAACUGCUGAAAUACCGGUUGCCCCUGUACUUGGCCUCUCUCUUCAUCAGCCUGGUUUUCCUGUUGGUGAAUCUAACCUGUGCCGUGCUGGUGAAGACGGGAAACUGGGAGAGGAAGGUGAUCGUCUCUGUGCGAGUGGCCAUCAAUGACACGCUCUUUGUCCUGUGUGCCGUCUCGCUGUCCGUCUGUCUCUACAAAAUCUCUAAGAUGUCCUUAGCCAAUAUCUACUUGGAGUCUAAGGGCUCCUCUGUUUGUCAAGUGACUGCCAUCGGGGUCACUGUCAUCCUGCUUUACACCUCUCGGGCCUGCUACAACCUGCUCAUCUUGUCGUUCUCUCAGAUCAAGAGUGUGCACUCCUUCGAUUACGAUUGGUACAAUGUGUCAGACCAGGCAGAUCUGAAGAAUCAGCUGGGCGACGCUGGCUAUGUAGUUUUCGGGGUGGUGCUGUUCGUGUGGGAGCUCUUACCCACCACCUUGGUAGUUUAUUUUUUCCGAGUUCGAAGCCCUGCAAAGGACCUCACCAACCCAGGAAUGGUCCCCAGUCAUGGAUUCAGUCCCAGGUCUUACUUCUUUGACAACCCUCGAAGAUACGACAGUGACGAUGACCUUGCCUGGAACAUCGCACCUCAGGGACUUCAGGGAAGGUCACUCAACUUGAGCGCCACCUCAUCCCUGCUUCUCUCAUCCACCUCCCUCGCUGUGUUUCCUGCUGGCCAUCUUUGCCCCUUCAGGCCCCCUGCUGAAGCAGCCCCUACCCUGGGGAGAAGAAAGUUUUGCUCCAGACUACUAUGAUUGGGGUCAACAAGGCCACAGCUUCCUGGCACAAGCAGAAACUCUGCCAGCAGAUGUGACUCUGGAUCCUGACAAACCCAGCCACGGGUAGCCAAGGCCAACAGUUUUACAGAAGAUUCUUCAGGUCACCGAAGGUCAUUAAGAUCCUGAGUUUCACACUGUUAGACUCCUAAAAGUGCACUUGACAUCUAGAAAGUUAACUGCGACUCCAGUGUUGAUAUUCCGUUUUAUGUUAACUUUUAUCAAGUCUAUAAGGUAAUAGUGUUUUUUUUUCUUAAAUUUUGCCAAGUCUGGUACUUCCUCCAUCAGGGCACUGCUGUGUACACUGCAGUGAUAACAAGCUGAUGCUGUUAAAAUGUAGCUGACUUACACUAUUAAACCUUGUCUACCAUGCUUACAGUGAUUUUGCUUUCUUCAGCCCAGUGUAACUAUGGCAAGACCACCCCUUUCCUAGCUCAGCUGAUGCUCACUACAGUCAAGGGCAUUAAUAAUGAAUUCUCAUCUGCCCCUUGAGCAAAAAGAUGGGCAUCCUGAUGGGUUUUUUUGUAAUCUACAACCAAGGCUCUGAACAGCCUCUUGGAGGUUGCCUGUUUGAAGUGCUGUGGCACUGGACUGUAACGCACCUGUCUCAGCCAGGAAGGCAUGGUCCAGGUAGAUGAAAGGCAGCAUAAAACAACUAAGUGACAAACGUGAUGUGAAACACAACUGCUCUGACCACUGCUCUGUCCUAGAACCACCACUGUGUACUCUGGAGCUGUAAAGCUCUGCCCAUCAGAGGCUGAACUCUGAUUUUCACAAAACAGAUCUGGUUCUGGAGGAAGUGCCAUUACCAGACACAAAGGGUCAUUCUGCACCCCUCAGAGUCACAGUUUGGGAUGGGCAGGUGAGAAGGACCUGUGGAGGUCAGCAACAACUAAUCUCCCUGCAUGAACUUCACAAAUGAUGAGUCUGCUUCAAAUUUUUUUUUUUGCAGUACUUGGAUUUGAACUCGGGGCCUACACCUUGAACCACUCCAC